CACGUAGGGCGCAAGCGUUAUUCGGAAUUAUUGGGCGUAAAGGGCGCGUAGGCGGCUUGGCAAGUGGAUGGUGAAAUCCCUCGGCUUAACCGAGGAACUGCCAUCCAGACUGCUUUGCUUGAGGCCGGGAGAGGUGAGUGGAAUUCCCAGUGUAGCGGUGAAAUGCGUAGAUAUUGGGAGGAACACCAGUGGCGAAGGCGGCUCACUGGACCGGUUCUGACGCUGAUGCGCGAAAGCGUGGGGAGCAAACGGG
rnacentral:rRNA from 1 species